CCUACGGGAGGCAGCAGUGGGGAAUCUUGCGCAAUGGGCGAAAGCCUGACGCAGCAACGCCGCGUGCGGGAAGAAGGCUCUCGGGUUGUAAACCGCUUUCAGCAGGAACGAAAAUGACGGUACUUGCAGAAGAAGGUGCGGCCAACUACGUGCCAGCAGCCGCGGUGACACGUAGGCACCAAGCGUUGUCCGGAUUUAUUGGGCGUAAAGAGCUCGUAGGCGGUUCGGUAAGUCAGGUGUGAAAACUUUGGGCUCAACCCAAAGCCUGCAUCUGAUACUGCUGUGACUAGAGUUCGGUAGGGGAGCGGGGAAUUCCUAGUGUAGCGGUGAAAUGCGCAGAUAUUAGGAGGAACACCGGUGGCGAAGGCGCCGCUCUGGGCCGAAACUGACGCUGAGGAGCGAAAGCGUGGGUAGCAAACAGGAUUAGAUACCCUGGUAGUCCACGCCGUAAACGUUGGGCACUAGGUGUGGGUUUCAACCAACGAAAUCCGCGCCGUCGCUAACGCAUUAAGUGCCCCGCCUGGGGAGUACGGCCGCAAGGUUAAAACUCAAAGGAAUUGACGG
rnacentral:rRNA from 1 species